rnacentral:rRNA from 1 species
GUAGGUGGCAAGCGUUGUCCGGAAUUAUUGGGCGUAAAGCGCGCGCAGCCGGUCCUUUAAGUCUGAUGUGAAAGCCCACGGCUCAACCGUGGAGGGUCAUUGGAAACUGGGGGACUUGAGUACAGAAGAGGAAAGCGGAAUUCCAAGUGUAGCGGUGAAAUGCGUAGAGAUUUGGAGGAACACCAGUGGCGAAGGCGGCUUUCUGGUCUGUAACUGACGCUGAGGCGCGAAAGCGUGGGGAGCAAACAGGGAUUAGAUACCCUGGUAGUCCACGCCGUAAACGAUGAGUGCUAAGUGUUAGGGGGUUUCCCGCCCCUUAGUGCUGCAGCUAACGCAUUAAGCACUCCGCCUGGGGAUACGGCCGCAAGGCUG